rnacentral:rRNA from 1 species
UACGAAGGGGGCUAGCGUUGUUCGGAAUUACUGGGCGUAAAGGGCGCGUAGGCGGCUCUGAUCGUCGGCUGUGAAAGGCCUGGGCUCAACCUGGGAACGGCAUCCGAUACGGCAGGGCUUGAGUGUGGGAGAGGUUGGUGGAAUUCCCAGUGUAGAGGUGAAAUUCGUAGAUAUUGGGAAGAACACCGGUGGCGAGGGCGGCCAACUGGACCACAACUGACGCUGAGGCGCGAAAGCGUGGGGAGCAAACAGG